rnacentral:misc_RNA from 1 species
CCCAAUGAAUAAUUGAAUGGCUGCAGUAUUUUGACUGUACAAAGGUAGCAUAAUCAUUAGUUUCUUAAUUAGAAGCUUGUAUGAAUGGUUAAAUGAGAAAAUAACUGUCUUUAAUUAAAUUUUUAUAGAAUUUUAUUUUUGAGUUAAAAAGCUCAAAUUUUUUUAAAAGACGAGAAGACCCUAUAGAGUUUAAUAGUUUAGUUUUUAUUAAUUUUAGGUAUUUAAAUUUAUUGGAAAUAUANCUAUUUAGUUGGGGUGAUUAGAAAAUUUAAUUAACUUUUGUUUUAUUNUAACAUAUAUUUAUGAUUAUUUGAUCCACUAUAUUAGUGAUUAUAAGAUUAAAUUACCUUAGGGAUAACAGCGUAAUUUUUUUAGCGAGUUCUUAUCAAUAAAAAAGUUUGCGACCUCGAUGUUGGAUUAAAAUUAACUUUCGGUGCAGUAGUUGAAAAGUUAGGUCUGUUCGACCUUUAAAAUUUUACAUGAUCUGAGUUCAGNNNNNNNNNNNNNNNNNNNNNNNNNNUCUUUAGAUUAUUUAAAUGAUUUAGUACGAAAGGGCCCAUCAUUUGUAAUAUUUACUUUUUUAAGAAUAAAAUUGUUACUUUGGCAGACUAGUGCAUUAAAUUUAGAAUUUAAUUAUGUAUUUAAUAUACAGGUAAU